CCUUAGCCCUGAUUGCAGUGGAAAUCCUUUAUAGAUUUCCUUUCCGGAAAUCUAUAAAGAUUGUAACGGAAAGCGGGACACAAG
rnacentral:sRNA from 1 species